GGUCUUAGUUCGGAUUGGAGUCUGUAACCCGACUCCAUGAAGUUGGAUUCGCUAGUAAUCGCGCAUCAGCCAUGGCGCGGUGAAUACGUUCCCGGGCCUUGUACACACCGCCCGUCAAGCCAUGGAAGCCGGGGGUGCCUGAAGUCCGUAACCGCGAGGAUCGGCCUAGGGCAAAACUGGUAACUGGGGCUAAGUCGUAACAAGGUACC
rnacentral:rRNA from 1 species